CUGGCGGCGUGCCUAUACAUGCAGUCGAGCGAACUGAUUAGAAGCUUGCUUCUAUGACGUUAGCGGCGGACGGGUGAGUAACACGUGGGCAACCUGCCUGUAAGACUGGGAUAACUUCGGGAAACCGAAGCUAAUACCGGAUAGGAUCUUCUCCUUCAUGGGAGAUGAUUGAAAGAUGGUUUCGGCUAUCACUUACAGAUGGGCCCGCGGUGCAUUAGCUAGUUGGUGAGGUAACGGCUCACCAAGGCAACGAUGCAUAGCCGACCUGAGAGGGUGAUCGGCCACACUGGGACUGAGACACGGCCCAGACUCCUACGGGAGGCAGCAGUAGGGAAUCUUCCGCAAUGGACGAAAGUCUGACGGAGCAACGCCGCGUGAGUGAUGAAGGCUUUCGGGUCGUAAAACUCUGUUGUUAGGGAAGAACAAGUACGAGAGUAACUGCUCGUACCUUGACGGUACCUAACCAGAAAGCCACGGCUAACUACGUGCCAGCAGCCGCGGUAAUACGUAUGUGGCAAGCGUUAUCCGGAAUUAUUGGGCGUAAAGCGCGCGCGGCGGUUUCUUAAGUCUGAUGUGAAAGCCCACGGCUCAACCGUGGAGGGUCAUUGUAAACUGGGGAACUUGAGUGCAGAGAGAAAAGCGGAAUUCCACGUGUAGCGGUGAAAUGCGUAGAGAUGUGGGAGGAACACCAGUGGCGAGGCGGCUUUUUGGUCUGUACUGACCGCUGAGGCGCGAAAGCGUGGGGGAGCAAACAGGAUUAAAUACCCUGGUUAGUCCACGCCGUAACGAUGAUGCUAAGUGUUAGAGGGAUUCCGCCCUUUAGUGCUGCAGCUACGCAUAAGCAUUCGCCCUG
rnacentral:rRNA from 2 species